GAUCCUGCCGGAGGCCAUUGCUAUUGGGAUUCGAUUUAGCCAUGCUAGUCGCACGAGUUCAGACUCGUGGCGAAUAGCUCAGUAACACGUGGCCAAACUACCCUUCGGAACACAAUACCCUCGGGAAACUGAGGCUAAUAGUGUAUACCACAAUCCACCUGGAAUGAGGAUUGUGCCAAACGCUCCGGCGCCGAAGGAUGUGGCUGCGGCCGAUUAGGUAGACGGUGGGGUAACGGCCCACCGUGCCAAUAAUCGGUACGGGUCAUGAGAGUGAGAACCCGGAGACGGAAUCUGAGACAAGAUUCCGGGCCCUACGGGGCGCAGCAGGCGCGAAACCUUUACACUGCACGCCAGUGCGAUAAGGGAAUCCCAAGUGCGCAGGCAUAGAGCCUGCGCUUUUGUACACCGUAGGGAGGUGUACGAAUAAGGGCUGGGCAAGACCGGUGCCAGCUGCCGCGGUAAUACCGGCAGCCCGAGUGAUGGCCGAUCUUAUUGGGCCUAAAGCGUCCGUAGCUGGCCGCGCAAGUCCAUCGGAAAAUCCACCCGCCCAACGGGUGGGCGUCCGGUGGAAACUGCGUGGCUUGGGACCGGAAGGCGCGACGGGUACGUCCGGGGUAGGAGUGAAAUCCCGUAAUCCUGGACGGACCGCCGAUGGCGAAAGCACGUCGCGAGGACGGAUCCGACAGUGAGGGACGAAAGCCAGGGUCUCGAACCGGAUUAGAUACCCGGGUAGUCCUGGCCGUAAACAAUG
rnacentral:rRNA from 1 species